rnacentral:lncRNA from 1 species
UAAACCCCAUCGUGAGGGAACCUAGCUACGGGUCAGAGCUAGUCCACUAGGUGCUAAUCAAAUGCUGUGUUACAACACUGUGAGGUUUUCCCAGUUAUAAGUGUCACUAUUAGGGUUUUUUUUAAUUGCAAAGCCAAAUAAGGCUGUCAAUUGCAUCAUCUUACCUUAUUUCUUCAGAUUAAGUACUGUUUAUAGUGGGAUUUUUGGUGGAUGUGGUGGCAUCAGCAUAAUCUAUGUUUCAGGCGUCCUAUAGAAGAGGAUUAUUCUUCAGGGGAUGUGGAAGAAAAG